UACUGAGGAUGCGAGCGUUAUCCGGAUUUAUUGGGUUUAAAGGGUGCGUAGGCGGGUUAUCAAGUCAGCGGUAAAAUCGUGGAGCUCAACUCCAUCCAGCCGUUGAAACUGAUGAUCUUGAGUGGGCGAGAAGUAUGCGGAAUGCGUGGUGUAGCGGUGAAAUGCAUAGAUAUCACGCAGAACUCCGAUUGCGAAGGCAGCAUACCGGCGCCCGACUGACGCUGAAGCACGAAAGCGUGGGUAUCGAACAGG
rnacentral:rRNA from 1 species